rfam:Ictidomys tridecemlineatus contig077620, whole genome shotgun sequence.
GUGGAUGUACCUCUGUGGUAGAGGAUUUGCCAAGAAAGCAAGAGGCUCUGGGUUCAAUCCCAGUACCACC